rnacentral:rRNA from 1 species
GACGAACGCUGGCGGCGUGCUUAACACAUGCAAGUCGAACGGACAGGCCCUGCUUUUGUUGGUUGCUCGAUUGGCGAACGGGUGAGUAACACGUGAGUAACCUGCCCUUGUCUUUGUGAUAACUUCAGGAAACUGGGGCUAAUACCGGAUAGGAGCUCCUGCUGCAUGGUGGUCGUUGGAAAGUUUCGGCGUUUGGGGAUGGACUCGCGGCUUAUCAGCUUGUUGGUGGGGUAGUGGCUUACCAAGGCUUUGACGGGUAGCCGGCCUGAGAGGGUGAACGGCCACAUUGGGACUGAGAUACGGCCCAGACUCGUACGGGAGGCAGCAGGGGGGAAUAUUGCACAAUGGGCGGAAGCCUGAUGCAGCAACGCCGCGUGCGGGAUGACGGCCUUCGGGGUGUAAACCGCUUUCGCCUGUGACGAAGCGUGAGUGACGGUAAUGGGUAAAGAAGCACCGGCUAACUACGUG